AAGACUAUAGACCUGCGGAGUACCUGCGGAAGGAUCAUUACCGAGUUUACAACUCCCAAACCCCAUGUGAACAUACCUGUUUCGUUCCCUCGGCGGUGUCCGGCAACGGCCCGCCAGAGGACCCAACAAACUCUUUUGAAUUUUUCAGUAUCUUCUGAGUGAAAAAAACAAUAAAUCAAAACUUUUAACAAUGGAUCUCU
rnacentral:misc_RNA from 1 species